AAUGGGGAGGGGUGUAUUAGAUAAUGAGGACUUCCAAAAAGCUAACUCCUGCUCCGGGAUCAAAAUGCACCUGAAAGGUGGGAAGAGGUCGAGCCCCGGGUUCUCGCCGCAGAUGAUGAAAUUCACCUGAGACCACAUAGCCAGAGAAGGCCAAACUGAGUUUUGAAUCUAGGCAAUCUUGACCCCAGAGCCUUCCGGCCUAAAGCGUUUGACUCUGUGACGUCCCCCCCUAAUCCAUGAUGGCCUCAGAGAAACUCCAUUUUGAACUCGAAGAGAAUCUCUCGGCCUGCUUGUGGAGAGGAAGAGGAGAAAGUGAGAGAGGGAAAACAAGUGAGAAUGAGAGAUGGAGACAGAUGUGGUGUCUGGAGAUGCAGCAUCCAUUUUGCAAAAAUGUGGCAGUAAGCAUGAGGGAAAGGUCAAGAAAAUCAGAGACAUUGCCAUGACAUCAACAGGCUGCUGAACCAAAGUCAGCACCUAUUUGCCUCCAGAUAUAUUCUUCUGUGACAAAAUAAACCCUUCUUGGUUUAAUUUACUAUACAGAGAAACAGAACUAAUAAGAUGUGUCUAUAUAUACAAAGAGAUUUAUUUUAAGGAAUUGGUUCACAUGAUUUAUAGGGUUGGCAAGUCCAAAACUGCAGGGUGGGCCAGUGACUGAAGACCCAAGGAAAAGUUGAUGCUGCAGUUCAAGUCCAAAGGCCAUUUGCUGACAGAUGCUUGGGGGAGGUCAGUCUUUGUUCUAUUAAAGCCUUCAAUUGAU